AUUGAACGCUGGCGGCAGGCCUAACACAUGCAAGUCGAACGAGAGGCGGACGGGUGAGUAAUGUAUGUGAAACUGCCCGAUGGAGGGGGAUAACUACUGGAAACGGUAGCUAAUACCGCAUACCAUCAGAUGUGCCCAGAUGGGAUUAGAUUGGUGGUGGGGUAACGGCUCACCAAGGCGACGAUCCCUAGCUGGUCUGAGAGGAGGACCAGCCACACUGGGACUGAGACACGGCCCAGACUCCUACGGGAGGCAGCAGUGGGGAAUAUUGCACAAUGGGCGCAAGCCUGAUGCAGCCAUGCCGCGUGUAUGAUGAAGGCCUUCGGGUUGUAAAGUACUUUCAGCGGGGAGGCGUUACCCGCAGAAUAAGCACCGGCUAACUCCGUGCCAGCAGCCGCGGUAAUUC
rnacentral:rRNA from 1 species